CUUGCGUUAAACGUAUAAACUGUUAAAUUAGAUGGCGACUCUGCAUUAAACGUAUUUAUUUAAUUAAUCGGCGAUCGUAUUUCACCAGAGGACUAAGAUAAAACAACUCGAUUUAAAAUGUGAGCAGUUUUAGUGGAUCUGACGUCGAGGGAAAAAGUAUUUCGCUUUUUGUUUGGAGAUGAACGAGACAACACGAGGCACAGCGACAUAAAUAUGACCAACCAGAUCCCAAGUAGACAGGAACAAAUGAAGAUAUAGCGCAUAGAAAGACUUAUUCUUGGUGAUCAACUGCUAUUGACAUUUUUGAAUCGGGACAAAUGUGGAGUGAUUCGGAAGAAAAACGUUUGCAACACAUCCAUUCCAGAGUGCUCUGACAGAUAAAACUGACACGCUUGAUGAGGACACAGUCAAAGCUUUAAAAGCCCGUGUGAUAAAGCAGUCUUCAAUUACUACGGUGUCUGAAUUGCAAGAAGAAAUGACCCUCUACUUAAACAUGUGACAUCUAAACUGUUUUGUGUUUUAGUUCAGCUUUUUAUAGGUUUAUCUUAAGUUGGUUAAAGGCGGAGUGCACUAUUUUUGAAAGCCAAUGUUAACAUUUGAAAUUACCUAAACAAACAUGCCUCUACCCCAAUAGAAUCUGGACCUUCUUUUGAUAGAGCCACCACACACAUACGCAACCCCGGCAAGGAUGUCGGUUAGUAGACACGCCCCUUACUGCUGGUUGGCUACAAGUGUGUUUUGGUAGUCGGCCCAAUUUCCUUUUCCAAAGCGUUUUUCAAACAUUGUGCACUCCGUCUUUAAAUUGCACUUAAACAUUUUUUGUUCAUUAACUUUUUAUGCAGAGAAUUACAUUAUGAUUAUUAUAUAAUCAUUGCUUAUGAAUAUUUAGUGAUUGCAUAUUCAUAGUGUACUUUUCAUUAAUACAUUUAAUGUUAAUGUUGUACAAUUUGAUAGAAGUAGCUCUGUAAUUGCAUUUCUCUGAUAUUUGUUUUAUAUGUUUCUCUUUGGUCAAGAGAUUAUGUAUGUCUCUGUGCUUGAUUAAUUUACUUUAGAUAUUUUUGUAAUGUACACAACACAAUAUGAAGUAUAUUAAAUUGUUCUGUAUUCAAAAUCUGUGUAUGUGUCUUAAUAUUUAAUGAUUUUAAUAUAACAUUUUAAAUAUUAAAAACAGCUUUAUAAUAAAAUAGUAGUGUAAUGCUAAUACAUUUCUAUUAAUGUAAUGCUAGUAUAUUUCUAAUAUGCUGAAGUACUAUUAAAGUGUUCUUAAAGCACAGUUAAAUUAAGCUUUAAAUGUAUUCUAACUGUAUUUUUAAGUGUAUGAGAAGUGCAUUUCAAAUGAAUUUUAAAGAAGUACACUUAAAUUGCACUAAAUAUAUUUGAAGUUGUUCCAAUUUAACACAAUUUCAAUAUAUUAAAUAUA